rnacentral:lncRNA from 1 species
CUAGGCAUUGAUAUUAAAGAUUACUUUUUAAUCUUUAUAAUUUCACUUUAUCACAAUCAUAUUUCCCAGAUGUAGUUAGAACUAUUUGUGGGUAUUAUUUUCUGUUUAAGUUAUAUAUAUAUGUAUGUUCAUUCAUGUAAUAAUGCCAUAAGGUUUGAAUUGUAGUAGCUUUAUAGUAGAUAGCUGCCUGUGAGUUAACACUCAAAUUCUAAUAAGAUUUAUUACUUGUACCUGAAUGCCUCCAGAUUAUUAUAUUCUUCAUUCACAUGCUUUGCUAUUCAUUCAAUAUAAAUUCAGAGCUAAUAUAUAUUAAAAAUGAAUUAAAGUGGCUAAUAUUUUUUAGUUUUCACUUAUAUUCAUAGAUUUAAAAUAUGAGAAAGUAAUAGAAUAUAACAUUUUUUAAAACCUCUAAUGAGUCACAUUUUCAGUCUCUAAUUAAAACAGAGUACCCUGUGGAACUCCUUUGCAUCAUUUACCUGGUUUCAUUAAUUCUGGCUACUAAAGUUAAUUUAAAUUCACUCUUGUAAAAUGAGAGCUCAGUAUUAGUUUUUUUUUCUGUUAACAUACUAGUGAGACUUACAAAUAGUCAUCUGCUAGGUGGUAAAGAGUCUUAUUUAUUGCAAAUAAUCUUAGCCAAUAGAUAUUAUUUAUGCUUCAUUUAGGAAUAAAGAUGUUAAUGUGAGAUCACAGAAGAAUCUUUUUGUUAAAGCUAAAUGUAAUAUUGCUUUGAUGAGUUGCAAAUGAAAAUAUUACCUAUUUUCUUUGUCCUUCUUUCACAAUUGUACAGAAAGAAAACUAAAGAAUGCACGUCAAAUCUACUGCAAAUGAAACUGCACUAUAGACCCUAUAUCUUCAAUGAUUUCAAGAUAAUUUCUAUGCUCAAAUCUUUGUUCUAUCCUCUCUUCCUAAACAGAAUUUUAAGAAGUUGGCCAAGACAAAAUGAAGAACUGACUUAGACUUAGGUCCCAAAUUUACAGCUUUGAUGAUUUAGGGACAUUCCUUGACUGCUAUACUGAGCCUUUGUUUCACAUUUAUAAAAGGAUGAAAAUAGCUAUUAGCAUGGCUUUUGUGAGAAUUAAAAAACAUCCUUCUGGAAUUGCCUGUCCUUCUGAUUGGAUAUUUUUAAAAUGUUAAGUAUAAUUUAAAUAGACAGUCAUAAAAAGAAUAUGACAAAAAGGCCCAUUAUCAUUUUAUUACCCAGAUAAACCCUGGUGAUCCACUCAUAGAAAAGGGAGCUUCUUUUAGUAGUUUGAUUCAUCCUAGUUUCUGAACACUCCCUUCUGAAAUCUGCUUUUGGAGGUAGAGGGUGUCAUUUUGGCAAGUUUUGUUCAAAUAUUUUGUCUCAAUUUUAGGAAAGAAGAAUAGUAACUGUGCUGAGCUCUGCCAGGUCAGAUAAAAUUUUGGAGUAUUCUUUUUCUCUUCUAGACAGCCAAUUGGUAAGCUAUAAGUCUUCUUUUGCUUUAGCUGUGGUUAGUGUGUUUGCUGGACUUGUAAAAUGUAUUUUCAGUGUUCAUUUGUUUAGAUUGAGAGGAUUGAGCUAAAUUUUACAAAGUUUAUGCCUUCAUUUUAGAAGGCCUUUUAAGUUGUGAUAUUGCAUGCAAGAGUUAAUGGAAUCUUGGACUCCAUAUAUCUAUCUCUAUCUCUAUCUAUUUUAGCUUUUUUUCCUCAGCUUUUGGACCAAUAAUGCCUAAGAGUGAAAGAAACUCGGAUCAAGUAUUUUUUCUGUGGGAGGUACAGAGAAUGUGAGGAAAAUGAAAUUGGGGAAGUUUUCCUGCUUCUCUUCCUCCCCCUCAUUUUUGGUCAUUUACCUCAGGUCUUCACUUCACUUUGUGUUUCUAGCCUGGGUUCAGAAAGACCCUAAUUGUUGGACUACACAGUGUUGGAGUAGUAGAUUGCUAGGAGGGACCAAGACCCAGACAACCUUGAAUAGAGGUUACAUGAAAUUAUAGUCAAGGGGGAUGAUCCAGCCAAUUUCCUCACUUACAUUGUGAAAUGAGUUCCCUCCCUGAGAAAAUGGACCUGUGUUCAGUUGACACAGCAGAUGGAGAUUUAUCCCAGUGCAUUUAUAUGUGUAUAUAUAUAUUUCUAAAUUGUGUGUGUGUAUAAUAACACCUAGUGCAAAUAUCUUGGAUGAUGUUCUUCUUCUUUCAUGCUUUUCUUUACUUCUACUUAUAAAAUUGUGAGCAUUUUUUAAUUCAAAAGAUGAGAACCUUAAAAAUUAAUUAAAAAGACAUUCUCAAUAGUCUAAGGUUCAGGGUGACUUGGCAGAGAAAAUUACUGAAUGGUGAGAUAAUAAUGCUGGUAUGCUUGGCUAUUGUAACACUUUCCAUUUGAGUUUCUCUUACUUGAAAUUACAAGAUACUAUAUGAUUCAAGAGAAAGACAGAUAAUUAGUAAUAUUCUGCUUACUUUUUAUACAGCCUGUUGAAGACCAUUUUGAUUAAUUAUUUGAAGGUCAUAGGAAGGAGCCUUCAUGAUCUAACUUUUGAACAAGUAGAAUUGCAGCAUAAAGCUAUGAUUCAAGAUUAAAAAGGGAAGUUUGAAAUGACCUGUUUCUUUUGGCAUCCCAAUCCAGAUGUCUGUCAGCAAGAUGAGUUGCUAUAUAGUCAAAUGGGUGGUCAGCAAUAUAAUUUUUUAAAGAUGGAAAGCAGAAAGAAGCUAUUGCCAAACAGCAUCUGCAGUGUUAAAAUCUGUAUUUCAGCAUCUUUUGUUUUCCCAAGGGGUGCAAGUGAGAAGAAGUAAGGCAGAGCAAUGCACUUGAAUAAAGCUUUUCAAAAUGGAUGGAACAGAGAGCAUUCCCAGAGGCAGGUCAAGUUCAACCCAAGAACAACUCUCUCAGUGCUUUCACAACUAGUUAAAAUACAAGACCAAUAAUACCCCAGCUCUCAAAUCAGUGCUGAAAUCCAGCAGAAGGUUGUUAAUAUUGAUAUGGUUAAUAUACAUCAAACAGGAUUCCUUUAAUUUUCUGAAUCGAAAAAUUCUCCACAGUGUUGACAUUUUCUUACUGAACUCCCAGGAUUGUUUGGUUUCAAAGGCUGUUGAGCUCAAGACGCAUUUUGUUUUAAAUAAUCCUUCAUAAAAAAUUCAGCUUUCAGUCUAAUAUGAUUGAAACUCAGCUUGAGUGUGUUUUAUAAUGCAUUGAACUGGAAAGACUAUGGGCAUUGAAUUAUUCAAAACAUGGUAGGCAAAGAAGUGAUAUGUGGGGAGGGAAUGAUCAAAGAAACCAGUGAGACUUGAUAUGUCUUGUUAUCUCAUUUUAUUUACCUUUUAGAACUCCUCCAAAUAUUAGAGGAAAGAAAUCAAUAUCAAUUUUCACCUCUGUCACGUUCCACACUUCAAUUAUUAAUGAAUGUCAAAUUUGACCACAGUUCUCUAUACCUCCUGCUCUGCAAUAAUAUUACUGAACCUUUAUUAAAAAUGUAAAAUUGUCAUUGAAUUUCCAAAUAUGAUUCUCUAGUGGCUAAUUCAGCUUGUUUUAUUAAUAAGUGGGUUCUGAUGAGUAAUACUAAUUUAAUACGCCUGCAUGUAAGAUUAAACUAUAAAUUAUUCCUGCUGAAGGUGAUGAGAUAUGACCGCUAUAUGGUUGUUGGGCAAUAACCUUCCUGAAUUAACCCUGCAAGCACACAAUUCUUAAAAGAAACCAUUGUUUCACGUAGUAGCAAACCUGAUAUUAUUUUGCAUGACUCCUUUAGCAGAGGGAUGCACACUCACAUACACACCAAAAUGAUGACGGGUGAACAUGCACACCAUACGUGCUUAUAUGAAUUUCUGAAUAUAGUUCUCUGUAAAGAAAAAGCUCUACUAAUCAUUGGUAUCUCUGUACUUUAUUAUUUUAUUCAUAAUAAAACACUUCAUGAAAUCACUUACUGUUCUAUAGUGCAUGUAAUCCUUUCAGUUUUGAGAUGCUAAAUAUAAACUGAAAUAAUUAUUAUAGUCCUUGGUCAUGAAAGACCAAGUUACAGAGAACCUGGUAACUGGAGGUCAGAGCUGCCAGAAAGUGCUUCUCUACUCCAGAGACCAUUAGAAUAUCAGUGUGUACCCACUUAAGGAUAGAAUGCUGCUAUCAAGAAACUAGCUGUCUUUUAUUAAUACUAAAAGGAGAGAACAGUGGGGGACCUUGGCUGUGUGAGUAUAUGAGACUUUCUCUGUUUUGUACAAUAAGCCACAAACAAUACCUGAAAUUGCCUCUGGCCCUUUGCCUUUUUGUACAAGUUCUUUCCUAUAUUGCUCCUGAUCAAUUACACUUAAAUCAACAAGAGUUACUUGAACAUUUGACAGUUGUGUUCCCCAUACCCUAAAGCAUUUUUGAAGGGUUACUGAGAUAAAAAUAUUUCCAAAAAUACUCCCUCCAAAUUUUUUUAAGGUGGCGUCAAUGAAGGUAACAUAGAGAAAAAUAAAAGUCCAUCUUGAUUUCCCGGCCUGCCAUUCUAAGGCCAAGCAUGCAUAAACUUUCAUAGCAAAACCUAGUUGAAAAUUUGGUUUCCAUGGUUUUAUAUAAGAAAUAAAUGGAGACUUUACUUGCCUAUAAUCCCUUUCCAAAGAGUAAAUAUAGUUAGUUCAUCAUUCAUUGGAGAUGAUGAAAAUUACAUUUUUGUUGAAAAGGUAGAAUGAAAACAUACACACAUACCACAAACACACACAUACAUAUACACAUACACACACUCUCUCCACAGUUCUAAAACUCACAUUUUCUUUCCUAACAAAAGUCUAUUCAUUGGCUUGAUCUCUAAACACAGUAAAGCAUCAGGUCACAGAGGAAUCAUAACAAAUAUUUUAUUUGAUAUCUGGAUGAAUUCACUGUUCAAGUGUAAAGAGGGAAUGCCUUCAGUUUUUCUCUCUUGCACCCAAUUAUCACAUACUGGAUGGAGGGGUUUUUCUUGAUUUUAAUCUAAAAUAGAAAUGUUCACUUUUGUUAAGAUGGAAAUUGACAACCUCAGUAGGCAGAGGCACUGUUUUUAUUCAGCUGAGUUCAUGUUUCUAGUGAUAAUUCAAGGUUCAAUAGGGUUUUCUCUGCUACUCCAAAAUCUGAAAAUGAUAAGCAUCUCACCAGAGUUUCAUGACAGCGUAUUACCUAUUCCGUGGAAAGGAAAUUCAAAGUACCAUACUUCUUCUCUAUGUCUUCUUUGACUUAUUAAUCAGUGAACAACCACUGGGUUAAGACAGUGUCUUAUCUUUGCCUAAAAAACAAAACAAAACAAAAAAACAAACGAACAAAAAACACAAAAAACUACUAAUGGUGAAACUUAAUAUGCCAGGCCUUAGUAUGAUGUGAUUUAGAAAUUGAGUUUCAGAGGGUUUUGUGAGCAUACCAAGAGGACUUGGAGUAUCUUAUUGCCACAGGCCCACAAGAAAUAUUUGAUUAAUAGAAAAAAAUGAAUAUAUGGUAGUAUAGGAGAUAAUCUGGCAGAUGAUUAAAAUUACUUAUUGACAGCAAUGCCCAAAAUCAUCUGUGAUCAAACACUAUGAGGUAUCCUUCUAGGGUACUGCAAAUAAGAAGUGAAAAUUCAGUUGUGAAGAUACUUUCAAUUUCAGCUCUGAUAUGCAAAAAGCUUGGAUUGUUACUUUGUACUUACAAGAUAAUGCUGUGCAGACUUAAAAUCAGUGACUUUUCUUGGACAUGUGAGGAAACUGGUUGCAGACUAAAGAGCCAACCCAGAAUCUUGAGAAGUAGUGAAUCCCACUGAGAUGCUCACCUAAAUCAAAAGUAACUGGAGCCAUAACUGGUAGGAAAACUUAAAUGGUAAUUUUGAAAAAUUGCUGGGGCUAAGUACCAACUUACAUGAAAAUGAGAAACUCUGGAUGGCUUCAGUCUUAGGGGUCCCCACACUUCUGUGGGUUUUACCUCCAGGGACCCCAGUAGGUGUCCUUGUGAAUAAAGAUUGGAAGAAGAUUCCCCUCAGGCCCUGGCAGCAGAGGGGAAGAAUAAUCUUUAGAAUAUGCACCUCAAGAGUCUUCCAUAGCAAAGGCCCAUUCUUCAGAGGAAAGGCUUUGUCAGAACCUCUGCAUAGCUGAGAUUAGGGCCUUCCUUCCAUUUCUUCUCCUCUGGCUUUCUCUGUCAACCUAAAGAGAGGGGCUUAUAGUCAACAGGAGACAGAGUUUUAAGGAUGUAGAAACACUGAAGUUAGAGAAGAGAACAAGGGAUGGAAAGUUAAGGACAAAAAAUAAAAAGCUUAUACCACUGGAAAUACACAUGUAAAGGUCACAGCCAGAGACACAGGCCCAAUGUAAGACUGAAAUUUAAUCAUAAGGUGAUAGAAAACCCCUCUUCCUCACACUGUAACACCACACUAAUAGGCUCUAGUAUAAUAACAGUGGAUUACAGCUGACACAGCUACCAGACAUAGACUCUGGAAAACCCAGGGUCUGUAACAGGGAGACGAAACUAAGAACACUAAUGUUGAAGGUUCUGGCACCUACAGCAAACAUUAAACACAGCCACAGUUCUAGCCAGAUUAGCAUAAAUUCUCACACUGAAGGCCCAUUUACCUUGGCUCCUAUUACCUGAUGCAGCAUAUCUGGCAUUCAAUAAAUAAUCACAGUUAUGCCAAGAGGAAAGAGAAAAAUACAAUAUGAACAGACAAGCAUCAGAAACAGACUCAAAUGUGACCCCAGUGUUGAAAUUAUCAGACAGGGAGUUUGAAAUAACUAUGAUUAAUGUGGUAAGAGUUCUAAUGGAAAAAGUAGAUAAUAUUCAAGAAUACAUGAGUGAUCUAAGCAGAGAUGUGGAAACUUUAGUAAACAAUACUAGGAAAUGCUAGUAAUGAAAAACAUAGUAACAAAUGAAUAGUGCCUUUGAUGGGCUCAUUGUUAGACAACAUAGCCAAGGAAAGAAUCAGUGAGUUUGAAGCUAUGUCAGUAGAAAUUUUUCAGACUGAGAGGCAGCUAUAAAUAUAAUUGCAAUACCAGAAGUAGAAUAAAAAGAGACAGAGCAGAAGGAAUAUUUAAAGUAAUAACAGCUGAUAUAUUUCCAAAAUUUGUAAAAUACACCAAACUAAAGGAAGGAAGAAAGAAGGAAGGAUGGAAGGAGGAGGG